UUAAGAUGUGUGUAAAGAUAUGAGGCAGACGAUACGGCACAGCAACAGAUGUAGACAUUGUUUCACUUUUACCACACUGCACUGCUGCUUAACUUGUUGAUUAGACCCCACGAGGGAUUGCUAGCAAAAACUGUGUGGAAACUCAUGUGGUGUUUGACUCAAGCACCAAAGAUGGCAAUAUGAGAAGA